UCUUAAAUAUCAUUGUAAAGUGUAAUACCUCUGAUUUAAAGGACCACCUUGCUUAUUCAUUGUAUGCAACAAAAGGUGUAAUGGAGAAUAUGAGCAGCCUCUGUUGAAAAGAAAAGAGAGGAAUACAGAGUACCUUCUGCAUUCACAGUCCACCUGAGGAUGACAUCUAUGAUUUCACAACUUCUCUUCUCAGUCCCAGGCUCCAAGCAGUGUGAUUUUGGAGGCACACAGGAAACACAGCACACCUAGAUUUUCCUGUAUGCAGUCUCCAUAAGGAGACACAAAGAAUAUCCAUUCUACAUGUUGAAAUUCUUAAUUGCGGACUAGCUAUGAGCCAAAAUUUGCAAGGAGAAAAAGAAACUACUGAGAGAGUCACAACAAAGACGACAAGAAUCAAAUCCCUCCUGCCUCUCUGCUUGGUGUCAGCAGGAGAAAAGAUCUGUAGCUUGGAAACUUUACCAUGCUUGUUUUAAGGGCAAUGAACCACUUACACUUCAGCCUGCAUUUCAUAGUAUACUUCAAAUGAUAUAUGUCCAUUUAGCAACACCAGUUGCUGUUAUAUUCCAGCUAAUGAACAAGCUGAAG